UACGAAGGGGGCUAGCGUUGCUCGGAAUCACUGGGCGUAAAGCGCACGUAGGCGGCUUUUUAAGUCAGGGGUGAAAUCCUGGAGCUCAACUCCAGAACUGCCUUUGAUACUGAGAAGCUUGAGUCCGGGAGAGGUGAGUGGAACUGCGAGUGUAGAGGUGAAAUUCGUAGAUAUUCGCAAGAACACCAGUGGCGAAGGCGGCUCACUGGCCCGAUACUGACGCUGAGGCACGAAAGCGUGGGGAGCAAACAGGGA
rnacentral:rRNA from 1 species